CCUACGGGUGGCAGCAGUGAGGAAUAUUGGUCAAUGGGCGGGAGCCUGAACCAGCCAAGUCGCGUGAGGGAAGACGGUCCUAUGGAUUGUAAACCUCUUUAGGCGGGGAGCCAUGCCGGGCACGCGUGCCCGGAGGGAGAGUACCCGCAGCAUAAGCAUCUGCUACCUCCGUGCCAGCAGCCGCGGUAAUACGGAGGAUGGGAGAUUUAUCCGGAUUUAUUGGGUUUAACGGGUGCGUAAGCGGCUUUUUAAGUCAGCGGUAAAAGUACCGGGCUCAACCCGGGCCGGCCGUUGAAACUGGGGAUCUUGAGUGGGCGAGAAGUAUGCGGAAUGCGUGGUGUAGCGGUGAAAUGCAGAGAUCUCACGCAGAACUCCGAUUGCGAAGGCAGCAGACCGGCGCCCGACUGACGCUGAGGCACGAAAGCGUGGGGAUCGAACAGGAUUAGAUACCCUAGUAGUC
rnacentral:rRNA from 1 species